UGAGGAAUCUUGCGCAAUGGGGGCAACCCUGACGCAGCAACGCCGCGUGAGUGAGGAAGGUCUUCGGAUCGUAAAGCUCUGUCAGUUGGGAAGAAAUGCCUGAGGGUCAAUACCCUUCUGGCUUGACGGUACCAACAGAGGAAGCACCGGCUAACUCCGUGCCAGCAGCCGCGGUAAUACGGGGGGUGCAAGCGUUGUUCGGAAUUAUUGGGCGUAAAGAGCGUGUAGGCGGCAAGAUGUGUCAGAUGUGAAAGCCCUGGGCUUAACUCAGGAAGUGCAUUUGAAACUAUCUGGCUUGAGUAGGGGAGAGGGAAGUGGAAUUCCUGGUGUAGAGGUGAAAUUCGUAGAUAUCAGGAGGAACACCGGUGGCGAAGGCGACUUCCUGGCCCUAUACUGACGCUGAGACGCGAGAGCGUGGGUAGCAAACA
rnacentral:rRNA from 1 species